UACGUAGGGUGCGAGCGUUAAUCGGAAUUACUGGGCGUAAAGCGUGCGCAGGCGGUUGUGCAAGACAGAUGUGAAAUCCCCGGGCUCAACCUGGGAACUGCAUUUGUGACUGCACGGCUGGAGUGCGGCAGAGGGGAUGGAAUUCCGCGUGUAGCAGUGAAAUGCGUAGAUAUGCGGAGGAACACCGAUGGCGAAGGCAAUCCCCUGGGCCUGCACUGACGCUCAUGCACGAAAGCGUGGGGAGCAA
rnacentral:rRNA from 1 species